GCCCUCUUAGCUCAGUUGGUAGAGCACUUCCAUGGUAAGGAAGGGGUCUCCGGUUCGAGUCCGGAAGAGGGCU
rnacentral:tRNA from 4 species